CUUUUCUCUAACAAUCGGGAACUUUGUGAUGGGUUCCCUUUUUUAAAAAAUUAAUCUAAAAAGGUAAAAUCUAUCUUUUAAAAUAAAUUUUCUUUUUGUCUUUGAAGCCAUUGACAUCCUGCUUGGGGAGGAUUAAAGAACUUGACUGCCCACCAGGAAUUCAGGUUCCUUAAGAUCUUGGCGCUUCAUCCUUAAAACCAUACAGAGCUGAUUGUUUCCAGAUCCCGACCCGGUGACAUUCCUCCCUCCAUUGUUGGCCUCGUCCCAAGCAUCUUUUCAAGAAAAGCAAUUAAAUUGAGAUUGAAAAUAAAUUCCUGCUCAGCGCGAGGGACACCAAAAUGA
rnacentral:lncRNA from 1 species